rnacentral:rRNA from 1 species
AUAGCGUAUAUUAAAGUUGUUGCAGUUAAAAAGCUCGUAGUUGAACCUCAGACCUGGCUGGGCGGUCAGCUUAUCGGCUUGUACUGUCUGGCUGGGCCUUACUUCUUGGUGAGCUGGUGUGCCCUUUAUUGAGUGCGCUGGUGAACCAGGACCUUUACCUUGAGAAAAUUAGAGUGUUCAAAGCAGGCCUAUGCCCGAAUACAUUAGCAUGGAAUAAUAAAAUAGGACGUGCGGUUCUAUUUUGUUGGUUUCUAGAGUCGCCGUAAUGAUUAAUAGGGAUAGUUGGGGGCAUUAGUAUUCAGUUGCUAGAGGUGAAAUUCUUGGAUUUACUGAAGACUAACUACUG